UUCUGGCUCAGGAUGAACGCUGGCGGCGUGCUUAACACAUGCAAGUCGAACGAAGCAUUCUAACUCGUCGGAGGAGGAAAUGACUGAGUGGCGGACGGGUGAGUAACGCGUGGUAACCUGCCUUAUACAGGGGAUAACAGUAGAAAUGACUGCUAAUACCGCAUAACCCGCUAGUACCGCAUGGUACAGACGGAAAAGAUUUAUCGGUAUAAGAUGGACCCGCGUCUGAUUAGCUAGUUGGUGAGGUAAUGGCUCACCAAGGCGACGAUCAGUAGCCGGCUUGAGAGAGUGAACGGCCACAUUGGGACUGAGACACGGCCCAAACUCCUACGGGAGGCAGCAGUGGGGAAUAUUGCACAAUGGGGGAAACCCUGAAUGCAGCAACGCCGCGUGAAGGAAGAAGUAUUUCGGUAUGUAAACUUCUAUCAGCAGGAAAGAAAAUGACGGUACCUGACUAAGAAGCCCCGGCUAACUACGUGCCAGCCGCCGC
rnacentral:rRNA from 1 species